UCGUAACAAAGGUUCCGUAGGUGAACCUGCAGAAGGAUCAUUUGACCAUUUGUGGCCAUGUGAUUGUUGGUUUCCCGUUAAAGUGGGAAAAGGGUGGGGGCAAAUCUUGCUCGCUGUUUUCUUGGGGGCUGGUUGUUGAUUUUGGUGCGGUGACAAAGCACCUGACAAAGCAUCAGCAAUGAAUGUCUUGGCUCAGUUAAUGAUGAAGGGUGCAGCAAGAUGUGGUAGACAGUGUGAGAUGCAGAAUUCCGUGAACUAUUGAGAGCUGAACGCUUGGUACACCUUUGGGACACUCCCAAAGGUGUGGUUAAUUUGAUGCAGUUCUGUGCAUGUGUCUCGUGAUGCGUGUGUGUUGUUGUGGUGUGGCACAGUCAGUGGCCCAACUCGUUUUUGCGGUGUGGCGUUCAACUGCCAGUGCCACAAUGCAACACUCAAAUGUACAUGGCUGCUUGCGGUGUGAAAUUGAGCACACAUACCCGCUGAAUUUAAGCAUAU
rnacentral:misc_RNA from 1 species